rnacentral:rRNA from 1 species
CUACGGGGGGCUGCAGUGGGGAAUAUUGCGCAAUGGGGGAAACCCUGACGCAGCGACGCCGUGUGAGUGAUGAAGGUUUUCGGAUCGUAAAGCUCUGUCGGGUGGAAAGAAUAAAGGCUGUGUAAAUAAUGCAGUCUGAUGACGGUACCACCAAAGGAAGCACCGGCUAACUCCGUGCCAGCAGCCGCGGUAAUACGGAGGGUGCAAGCGUUGUUCGGAAUUAUUGGGCGUAAAGGGCGUGUAGGCGGGUAUGCAGGUCAGAUGGGAAAUCCCUCGGCUCAACCGAGGAAGUGCAUUGAAACCGCAUAUCUAGAGUACGAGAGAGGCAGAUGGAAUUCCCAGUGUAGAGGUGAAAUUCAUAGAUAUUGGGAAGAACACCGGUGGCGAAAGCGGUCUGCUGGCUCGAUACUGACGCUGAGACGCGAAAGCGUGGGGAGCAAACAGGAUUAGAUACCCCGGUAGUC